ensembl:snoRNA Gm26395 predicted gene, 26395
CCUGCCCCUAGAGGCAUCGCAGGUAUGUCUGUUGCUUCACAUGUCCUUCAGUAGAUGGCAGUGUGGAGAGAGGCUAUGUCUGUGCUCAGUGUUCUGAUCUAUGAAUAUCUGAACGACUAGUAGGCUAAUAUA